rnacentral:tRNA from 1 species
GGGAACGUGGCUCAGUGCCAGAGUGCUUGCCUCGCAAGCAUGAGGCCCUGGGUUCGAUUCCUCAGCACCA